rnacentral:rRNA from 1 species
AUUGAACGCUGGCGGCAUGCUUUACACAUGCAAGUCGAACGGCAGCGCGGGCUUCGGCCUGGUGGCGAGUGGCACACGGGUGUGUAAUAUAUCUGAACGUCCCCAGAAGUGGGGGAUAACGUAGCGAAAGUUACGCUAAUACCGCAUACGAUCUAUGGAUGAAAGCGGGGGACCGCAAGGCCUUGUGCUCCUGGAGCGGCCGAUAGCUGAUUAGCUAGUUGGUGAGGUAAAGGCUCACCAAGGCGACGAUCAGUAGCUGGUCUGAGAGGACGACCAGCCACACUGGGACUGAGACACGGUCCAGACUCCUACGGGAGGCAGCAGUGGGGAAUUUUGGACAAUGUGCGCAAUCCUGAUCCAGCAAUGCCGCGUGGGUGAAGAAGGCCUUCGGGUUGUAAAGCUGCUUUGUCAGGGAAGAAACGGUAGAGGCUAAUAUCCUUUGCUAAUGACGGUACCUGAAGAAUAAGCACCGGCUAACUACGUG